CCUACGGGAGGCAGCAGUGAGGAAUAUUGGUCAAUGGCCGGAAGGCUGAACCAGCCAUGCCGCGUGAAGGUCAGUGCCCUAUGGGCGUUAAACCUCUUUUGUGCGGGAGCAAUAAUGGUCACGUGUGGCCAGACGAGAGUACCGUACGAAUAAGCAUCGGCUAACUCCGUGCCAGCAGCCGCGGUAAUACGGGGGAUGCAAGCGUUAUCCGGAUUUAUUGGGUUUAAAGGGUGCGUAGGCUGUGAGGUAAGUCAGCGGUGAAAUGCCCCCGCUCAAUGGGGUGAAGUGCCAUUGAUACUGACUUGCUGGAAUGCGGAUGCCGUGGGAGGAAUGUGUGGUGUAGCGGUGAAAUGCAUAGAUAUCACACAGAACACCGAUUGCGAAGGCAUCUCACGAAUCCGCGAUUGACGCUGAUGCACGAAAGCGUGGGUAUCAAACAGGAUUAGAUACCCCAGUAGUC
rnacentral:rRNA from 1 species